CCCUAGCCCUGAUGGGAACGGCAUCCUUUUAUGGUGGGGUUCACCAUAAAAGAUAUAGUGGACAGCAGGAAAUAGC
rnacentral:sRNA from 2 species